rnacentral:miRNA from 1 species
AGGACCCAAAUGAACUUUUUGG